rnacentral:rRNA from 1 species
AGUAACACGUGAGCAACCUGCCCCAGACUCCGGAAUAAGCGCUGGAAACGGCGUCUAAUACUGGAUAUGAGAUCAGUCCGCAUGGGCAUGGUCUGGAAAGUUUUUCGGUCUGGGAUGGGCUCGCGGCCUAUCAGCUUGUUGGUGAGGUAAUGGCUCACCAAGGCGACGACGGGUAGCCGGCCUGAGAGGGCGACCGGCCACACUGGGACUGAGACACGGCCCAG